rnacentral:rRNA from 1 species
AGAGUUUGAUCAUGGCUCAGAACGAACGCUGGCGGCAGGCCUAACACAUGCAAGUCGAGCGCCCCGCAAGGGGAGCGGCGGACGGGUGAGUAACACGUGGGAAUUUUCCUCAAGGUACGGAACAACCCAGGGAAACUUGGGCUAAUACCGUAUGAUGUCUAGCGACCAAAGAUUUAUCGCCUUGGGAUGAGCCCGCGUCAGAUUAGGUAGUUGGUGGGGUAACGGCCUACCAAGCCUGCGAUCUGUAGCUGGUCUGAGAGGACGAUCAGCCACACUGGGACUGAGACACGGCCCAGACUCCUACGGGAGGCAGCAGUGGGGAAUCUUGCGCAAUGGGCGAAAGCCUGACGCAGCCAUGCCGCGUGAAUGAUGAAGGUCUUAGGAUUGUAAAGUUCUUUCGCCCGUGACGAUGAUGACGGUAACGGGAGAAGAAGCCCCGGCUAACUUCGUGCCAGCAGCCGCGGUAAUACGAAGGGGGCUAGCGUUGUUCGGAAUUACUGGGCGUAAAGCGCGCGUAGGCGGUUUUGCAAGCCAGAGGUGAAAUGCCUGAGCUCAACUUGGGAAUUGCCUUUGGGACUGUGAGGCUUUGAGGACUGGAGAGGUGAGUGGAAUUCCCAGUGUAGAGGUGAAAUUCGUAGAUAUUGGGAAGAACACCGGUGGCGAAGGCGGCUCACUGGCCAGUUUCUGACGCUGUAGCGCGAAAGCGUGGGGAUCAAACAGGAUUAGAUACCCUAGUAGUCC